AAGAGGGAUUUGUACAUGUUCAGUGCAAUUUUAAGAGGUUGCACCAAUGCUCAUUCAUAAUAUUGUAUGCAUUCCAAGAAGAAAUGCUAUUGCUUCUUUAAGAUUCCUAUGUUAGGUUGCCCAACCAAUAUUGUUAUAUUUAUUUUUCAGUUGAAUAAUUAACUGCCCCUUUGAGAAAUUGCUUUUUUCACACUUUCUAUGAACACUUGAGUUGUAUGAUGUACCACAGAUUAAUUCUUAAUGUAUCAUUUAGAACAAGUAGAAAUGAACUAUUUACCCAAAAUUGAUGUGUAGUUUUGUGGAACUUCACUACAACUAGCAAUAGUAGUCUGCUGAUUGCUUUCCUUAUUAUGUGCCUCUUUAUUAAUGGAGAAAUAUAAACCAUGACUUGCUAUUUUUUUUUCUGCACCAGAUGAAUUACAUUUUUGAAUUGGUUGUAUGAUGCUAAUAAUUUUGUGUUAUAUUACCCUUUAUUAAUGGACAAAUGUAAUCCACAAUUUUGUUUUGCAACCGACAGAGUUGCAAUUCUUAAACUUACACUGCUUAGUACAAUCUUAAUAUACUAUGACUUUGAUGAUGUUUGGUUGUUAUGUGUUAUGUUGAAAGGCGAAAAUUAGAGCAUGUUGACAUUAUUUCUUCUAUUUCAAACAUCUAUUUUAUCAGCUGUGUUUAUCAGGUUUUGUGCCAUUACUUUUAAGUACAACUAUCUUAUAUCGAAGUUUCGACAGUUAGCAUUAGGACCGUUUCAUUUUAUAGUCGUUAUCAAUUUGAGCUUUGCAUAUGCUCAACACAAAUUCCCGCCGCAACGCGCGGGGCAUCCUCUAGUUCUUUAAAGUGCACGCACACUAUUUGACGAUACCGUGUGGCCGCGCCUCGACCGCUCGAUACAUCCGUAUCGUGAGGCCCAGCAGUACUCCGCUACCCGACAAGCCACCGCGCAGGGGCACACCGCUUCGUCCCUUCGUUCCAGAAGAAAACACUUAUCCCGAUCCCCUUUCCUCGUUCAGAGCACACCGUCGUCACCAGGGAGAUCGAUGGGGAGGCGGCCGACCGGAGGUGCCCGGCGAGAAGGCCGGAUGGGAAUCGGAGCAGAAGCACUGCCGUCUCGUUUCCCCCUUUCUCGGAGCUGGAGCUGAAGCGAUCCCGUCGUCAGCUCCGUCGUUGAGGUGGCGGUUUCGUCGUCGAUGAGAGCACAUGCGAAAGAAGUGAGGCCGGCGUAAAGGAGAGAAAAGAAGGCGUGUGCGCUGGGUGAUGCUUUUCAUUUUUGUCUAAUGUGGGGACCAGGUGGAGAGACACAGAAUGCGGACUUUCCUAAUUAGGACACAUGAGACUAAUUUUCCUAAUAUAAUCGGCUACCAAGAAGCGCUAGGGAGCACACGACUGCUCGCUAGAAGCAUCCACCUUUUCUGGGGAUUGCCAUGGGUUAUCCAAAAAAAAUCAUAAAACCAAAAUUUUGUUUGUUUGCAUACAGCCCACCAAAGUUUGGACAUUCAUUGUUUGGCAUGCAUAGCAUGAACCUUAAUGCACCUCUUGUUUGGAGAUAUGCCCUGGAGGUAAUCAUGUAUGAUGAUAUUUUCUAUGUUUUUAUGAAUAAAGAUAGUCCUUGAACAUUAUUAA